rnacentral:rRNA from 1 species
UACAGAGGGGGCAAGCGUUGUUCGGAAUUACUGGGCGUAAAGAGCGCGUAGGCGGCCCUGUAAGUCCGCUGUGAAAGUCAAGGGCUCAACCCUUGAAUGCCGGUGGAUACUGCAGGGCUAGAGUCCGGAAGAGGCGAGUGGAAUUCCCGGUGUAGCGGUGAAAUGCGCAGAUAUCGGGAGGAACACCAAUGGCGAAGGCAGCUUGCUGGGACGGUACUGACGCU